rnacentral:rRNA from 1 species
UGGGGAAUAUUGCACAAUGGGCGAAAGCCUGAUGCAGCGACGCCGCGUGAGGGAUGGAGGCCUUCGGGUUGUAAACCUCUUUCAGUAAGGGUGAAGGCUCUCUUUUGUGGAGGGUUGACAGUACUUGCAGAAGAAGCGCCGGCUAACUACGUGCCAGCAGCCGCGGUAAUACGUAGGGCGCGAGCGUUGUCCGGAAUUAUUGGGCGUAAAGGGCUUGUAGGUGGCGUGUCGCGUCUGCUGUGAAAUUCCAGGGCUUAACUUUGGGAUUGCAGUGGGUACGGGCAUGCUAGAGUGCAGUAGGGGAGAUUGGAAUUCCUGGUGUAGCGGUGAAAUGCGCAGCUAUCAGGAGGAACACCGGUGGCGAAGGCGGGUCUCUGGGCUGUUACUGACGCUGAGGAGCGAAAGCGUGGGGAGCGAACAGG